UACAGAGGUCUCAAGCGUUGUUCGGAUUCAUUGGGCGUAAAGGGCGCGUAGGCUGCGGGGCAAGUCGGGUGUGAAAUCUCAGAGCUCAACUCUGAAACUGCACUCGAUACUGCUUUGCUCGAGGACUGGAGAGGAGAUUGGAAUUCACGGUGUAGCAGUGAAAUGCGUAGAUAUCGUGAGGAAGACCAGUGGCGAAGGCGGAUCUCUGGACAGUUCCUGACGCUGAGGCGACGAAGGUCAGGGGAGCAAACGGG
rnacentral:rRNA from 1 species